CAUAUUUACAAAAUCACUGCAGCCAUAAAUCCAUCCCCUCAUUUUUAUACCUGUGAGGUUUAUUAAAAAAUACACCAAAAAAAAUGAUUUUUUUUGUUAGGAUGUAUUAUUUUUUAUUUUCAUUUAAUGUAUUUUUGCCUUUUAUUGCAUUAUUUAUAUAGUGCAUUUAAACAGGAGUUAGAUCAAACCCAGGGUGUCCCUUUUGUUCUGCAUUGAAAUGUUUAGAGAUUGAUAUAUCUACCUUUUGCAUUUUCUGGUCUGGGCAUUUAGAAAGUUAAAGGGGCAUUUUGACAUUUUUUUUAAACCAACAAGCAAACCCUUUUAAACAAAUAUACAAACCAAAAUAAAGCAAAAAAACAUUGAAAGAUGUAUAAUAAACAGUCAUAAAAUCACUCUAAACUCAGUCAAAUUGCAUUAUUGGGCAUGUCUCCCAGCUAGUUUUUCAGCCUCCCUCUUCCCCACAGUUUCAGACCAGUCCACUAAAUACAGACACAGGGCAUUAUUGUGCAGCAGUAGGAGAGAGAAACCACAUACUGGAGCCUGGUCUGCUUGAAUCACACUGAUC